CUGCAGUUUCCCUGUGCUGCCACAAGAGGGCAAAUAAUGGGAAUCUGUAGUGCUGAUGUAGGCUACACUCCUGACCUGGAGUUAAAGGGCACAAUGGUUCCUUGGUAUUUCUGUAGCCAAUCGGCUGACACCUGUCUGAGGUCCUGACCUGCUGUAAGGAGCACCCUGGGACCCCAGCUGGCAUUCACAGUGUGUCUCUACUCCUCCACUCUUCAUAGCUGGAACACAUAUCCCCAGCGACUACACACUGUCCUGUACAACAGCUGUCUACUUAUAAUAUUACAAUGCAGUAAAUCUCAAAACAUAAACUGUUUUCCAACAAA